rnacentral:rRNA from 1 species
CAGUCGUACGCACUGGCCCAACUGAUUGAUGGUGCUUGCACCUGAUUGACGAUGGAUUACCAGUGAGUGGCGGACGGGUGAGUAACACGUAGGUAACCUGCCCCGGAGCGGGGGAUAACAUUUGGAAACAGAUGCUAAUACCGCAUAACAACAAAAGCCACAUGGCUUUUGUUUGAAAGAUGGCUUUGGCUAUCACUCUGGGAUGGACCUGCGGUGCAUUAGCUAGUUGGUAAGGUAACGGCUUACCAAGGCGAUGAUGCAUAGCCGAGUUGAGAGACUGAUCGGCCACAAUGGAACUGAGACACGGUCCAUACUCCUACGGGAGGCAGCAGUAGGGAAUCUUCCACAAUGGGCGCAAGCCUGAUGGAGCAACACCGCGUGAGUGAAGAAGGGUUUCGGCUCGUAAAGCUCUGUUGUUGGAGAAGAACGUGCGUGAGAGUAACUGUUCACGCAGUGACGGUAUCCAACCAGAAAGUCACGGCUAACUACGUGCCAGCAGCCGCGGUAAUACGUAGGUGGCAAGCGUUAUCCGGAUUUAUUGGGCGUAAAGCGAGCGCAGGCGGUUGCUUAGGUCUGAUGUGAAAGCCUUCGGCUUAACCGAAGAAGUGCAUCGGAAACCGGGCGACUUGAGUGCAGAAGAGGACAG